AUGUGUGAAUCACUGCUCCCCUUCCCACACACACACACACACAGGCUCACAUCUCUGGGGGCCUUCUCCCCAGCUGCAGGGGUCCCGGGGGUUGGGAGCUCUUUCGAAGAUGUUCUCAAUGGUGUAGUCGAUGGCGCGGCCCAACGCCCUGGUCCCCUGCAGCUGGGUCAUCCUGCUGCCAAGGAAGGCCAGCAGCUUCUCUUUGGAGCCGUAGUCGGUCAGGGAGAACUCCACCUUCACAGGCGGCACACUGGCGUUGUCCACCGCCUCGUAGGGCGCAUGCUGCACCACCGCCACGCGGGCAAAGUGCUGGGAGGCCUUGGGGUCCGGGCUCACGUCCAGCUGUCGGACCAGGUACUCGAUGUACUUCCUCAUCUCGUUGAACUGGAACGGGGUGGUGGACUCGGAGCUAUCUAAGAUGAAAGCCAUGUCGAUGUCCACGUCACUGCCUGCUGCCCUCCGGUCCCUGAAGGAAGGCCUCCAGCUGCCGAAUCCACAGGAUGGGUCAAUGUUGCAGAUGUCUAGAAAGAAGCAUGGCAGCCUAUUUAUUCUGUCACUCUCAGAGUGAGAAACUGCACGUCAGUCUGCAGAGGGUCUGGGGUCAUUAAAAUUGUCACAUAAUGUACAACUAUGUAUACCUUGCUGACAUUAUCGUGGCCAGAUUUCAGUUUUCAUCACCUAACACUUACAACUGAGCGACUUCACCAUCACUUUUCACUUUCCUGCACUGGAGAAGGAAAUGGCAACCCACUCCAGUGUUCUUGCCUGGAGAACCCCAGGGACGGGGAGCCUGGUGGGCUGCCGUCUAUGGGGUUGCACAGAGUCGGACACGACUGAAGUGACUUAGCAUUAACACUUACCAGGGGAAACUAAUCAGCAAGCUAAAAUCCUUUUUAAUAUGGCUUUGGGUUCGAUCCCUGGGUCAGGAAGAUCCCCUGGACGAGGGCAUAGCAACCUACUCCAGUAUUCUUGCCUGGAGAAUCCCAUGGACAGAGGAGCUUGGCAGGCUAUAGUCCAUGGGGUCAAAAAGAGUCAGACACGACUAAGCAAUGAACACUUUUGGCAUAAUGAAAGAGUACAAAGGGCGGAGAAGGAAAGAAAAACACCUUACUUCUUUGCCACUCCUUGAAGAGUGUUUUCCAGAAAGUCACAAAGCCAGAUUAUUAAUUUCUGGACUCCAAGGUCAAAACAUAAGCAGAGCCCACUUACUCCUUUAUUACCUAUGGAACCCAACGCUCUCCUAACAGAGACAGGCUCUGUUUGGGGCGAGUCCGCUUCAGGCAUGGAAAGUACAUAUGCAGCAUUUACACCGGUAAAUACAGGGCCACGUGAAUCUUCAUAUAACUCAGGCUUUUUGUACACAUGGUGAUUAUUCACUCAGUGUCCCCCUGUGGACGGUGUGUUUUGGCAAUUGCCGCUGGACAGGCUUUCCUCUUGGAGAAGCACCUUACCCAAGCAGACGUGACACGUCAGGACAUUCUUCAAGAAGUCUGUGAGGUCUCCGCCAGCAGGAAGGACAAGGGCAUGUCCCACCGCUGUGUUAUUGAUCUGGUUUAAACAAAAAGAAAUGUUCAGGAGGAAUAUAAUGGACAUUACCAUUUGAGAAUACAGCUGAAGAAAACAUUAGAGUCACAUCAAUUAAAUAACCCCCCAAUAGCUUCUCUUUCUUAGGAAGUGGGGUUAGGAAGGAAGGCACUGAUUAUAAUAGAAAAGCACAGGUUUUCUUCCAACGAGAUGAGCUGGAGUUCAAACCCCUCUCCUGCACUCUGCUGGACCUGAAGCAAAGCUAUUUAACUUCUCUGGAAUUCAGUUUCCUCUGCUGCAAUCUGGGAUUAAUGGUAGAUACCCAUGAAGUUAUUUGGAGGAUUAAAUUAGGUAAUGAAGCUUAAGUGCCUGGUAUAGUCUCCAGCAAACAGCAGGGUCCUCAAUGUUAACUGUUAUUUCUAGCAACAAUAAUAGCAACUAGCCAACAUUGGCUCCAUCCCUCUUUCAUGUGCCCAGGUCCAGAAAGGGAUUUAACAACAAAACAAGCAAUCACUUCCAGAAGAUUUUAAAAGUCCUGCCAAUCACAGCCUCUGACACACCAUCAGUAAUGAUUCAUUUUGUGAAUAAUUGAAUGCAUGAAUAACUGACUGCCUGAAACUAUCCUUUUGAGAAACAUGCGUGGUGGCACUUCCCUAGCGGUCCAACGGUUAAGAAUCCACCUGCCAGUGCAGGGGGCCUCAGGUUCAAUCCCUGGACCAGGAAGAUCCCACAUGCCUCAGGGCAACGAAACCUGUGUGCCACAACUACUGAGCCUGUGCACCUAGAGCCCGUGCUUUGCAACAAGAGAAGCCACUGCAGUGAGAAGCCCAAGCACUGCAACUGGAGAGAGCCCGUGCACAGCAGCAAAGACCCAGUGAGGCCAAUAAACAAACAGGUAAAAAGGAACAUGCAAGGUUCUGGAUCACUUGGCCCUCAUAAGGGGAGAUGUACAUACAUGAGACCCUGAUAGGAACAUACAGCUGGUAAACCAAAGGCAGAGACUCAACCCAAUACCUGGUGCUCAAACUGGCCUGAAGUUUGGCAGAACAAACCCUGAGAGAUGGCACCAGUGACCCAACUCUCCCUGGCUGAUGUGGCAGUGAUAAAACCAUAGACUACUUGGUUUGGAAAGGAAGAUGUUAGAGACCAGUUCACCCCUCUGGAGCUGAGAAACCUGAGCCACAGAGAGAUAAGGGGGAGGGCCAUGUUACUCUCAGUGACUUGAAGCCAGAAGGUGACUGAAUUAAAACUAGAGCCAAGAUCCUGGUCCCGCUGUUUCCCGUCUUGACCAUCAUUCACCCAUCCUGGACAGCACAACCAGGAUUGGCAUUGAGCAAAGACUGAUUAAAUUGAUCAACUGAUCAACUGAUUUUAUAUAUUGAUUGAUUGAUCAUUAUUGAUUGAUCAAUAAUUGAUUAUUUUAUAUAUUAUCUAUCAUUAUAACAAUUAUACAAGUUAUUUAAGCAAAUGACAAGGGAGUGCUUAGCUGUUUCACAGGCAGAAGCUAAAGCUUCCGUGUUAUUUGUUUAAAUGACUUGUUUAAUUGUUAGAUGGCAAUUAACAAUGGCUGAGAAACGCCUGAAUACGGAUGCAUUCUGGGGGUUGGCUCGCUGAUGUCCCUAGGGGAGGGAGGGCUCCCAGGGUCAGCCUGGGAGCAUCUCUUCCAAGAUUCAAGGAGGGACCCGGUGGGAAUAAGUCACAGGCACUUGGAUGUCCAGAGCCAUCAGGAUGUUCCAGAAAUCCCAGCUUAGAUACCAGCCUCAUCUAGACACUUUGAGAAGCUAUAGGGUGCAAACUGGUCCCAGAUUUGGGCACGGAUGUGCCCGAGUGCCUUCUCAGAGCCCAGGAUGCCCGGAACACAGACCUGUAGGGCAUUGAUCAGCUGCCGGUCCUCCUGGCUUGUGAGGAACAAGGGUGUGAUCCCAGCAUCUGAGAGCUUGAGCACAGCCUCCCGGAGCUGUGGGGUCGCCCUCGUGGGCUUAUUGCUGAAGAACACUGCCACCUUCCUCAUCAGGAACCCGCUCCGCACACGCUUAAACGUGUUUCUGGCCACAAAGGACAUGGCGGUUUCCAGGCUCUGCUGCUUGGAGGUCAGCGACACCUGCAGGUUCUUGAUCUUGUCCAGGAGGACGGACUUCUUCUUGGAGUCGGCAAAGCGGAUCUCCGUGGUAACCUCGUUGUUGUAAGUGACCACGGCCACUCGGGCCCCCCGCGGGCAGUUGCUCUCAGCGAUGGUCAGGUCGUCCAGAAUCUUGAGGACCACCUCCCUCAUCUGGCUGAACCUGUCCUGGGUGACCCCCUCUGAGGUGUCCAAGGCGAAAGCCAGCUCCGUCGGGAAGACGGGGCACUCCAGGGGCCCUGUGGGAAGUGGGGGAGGGAGGUUCACAGACACACUACUUACCAGAAAAGGGGACUUCUGCUUCCCUCAGAAGGAAAUCCAGUCAUCGAGCUAACUUACCGUAACAGCAAGCUGGAAAAGAACAGAGGAGCAUGAAAGCCAUGUUCACCGGGCUUCCACACGCAAGAUUCCACACACAAGAAUAAAAUCAUGUGCAGACAGCAGAAAAUAGCGUAUUUACGGCAUUUAUCUUUGAUGCUCUGGACCAGCGCAUAUUGCUGAAAAAGGGAAGGAGAGAAG
rnacentral:lncRNA from 1 species